CAAUAGCGUAUAUUUAAGUUGUUGCAGUUAAAAAGCUCGUAGUUGGAUUUCGGAUGGGACUUGCCGGUCCGUCGUUUCGAUGUGCACUGGCCAGUCCUAUCUUGUUGUCGGGGACUAGCUCCUGGGCUUCACUGUCCGGGACUAGGAGCUGACGAGGUUACUUUGAGUAAAUUAGAGUGUUCAAAGCAAGCCUACGCUCUGAAUACAUUAGCAUGGAAUAACACGAUAGGACUCUGGCUUAUCUUGUUGGUCUGUGAGACCAGAGUAAGGAUUAAGAGGGACAGUCGGGGGCAUUCGUAUUUCAUUGUCAGAGGUGAAAUUCUUGGAUUUAUGAAAGACGAACUUCUGCGAAAGCAUUUGUCAAGGAUGUUUUCAUUAA
rnacentral:rRNA from 1 species